rnacentral:rRNA from 1 species
CCUACGGGAGGCAGCAGUGGGGAAUUUUGGACAAUGGGCGCAAGCCUGAUCCAGCCAUGCCGCGUGAGUGAAGAAGGCCUUCGGGUUGUAAAGCUCUUUCGGCAGGAACGAAAUGGUUCGUGUUAAUACCACGGACUGAUGACGGUACCUGAAGAAGAAGCACCGGCUAACUACGUGCCAGCAGCCGCGGUAAUACGUAGGGUGCAGGCGUUAAUCGGAAUUACUGGGCGUAAAGCGUGCGCAGGCGGUUUCUUAAGUCAGAUGUGAAAGCCCCGGGCUUAACCUGGGAACUGCGUUUGAAACUGGGAGACUUGAGUGUGGCAGAGGGGGGUGGAAUUCCACGUGUAGCAGUGAAAUGCGUAGAUAUGUGGAGGAACACCGAUGGCGAAGGCAGCCCCCUGGGUUAACACUGACGCUCAUGCACGAAAGCGUGGGGAGCAAACAGGAUUAGAUACCCUGGUAGUCCACGCCCUAAAACUAUAGUCAACUAGUUAGGUUCGGGGGUAGGUUAGUAGUUACCUUCGGUUAACGGUAAACGACGUAACGUACGUAGUAAGUUAGUACCGACCGUCGGGGAGGGUACGGACCGGCCGAAACGGUUAAAACGUUAACAAAUAAGAAGUUAGUACGGACGUGAGACGUAGCCGAACGGACGACGAACGAACGGGAAGGAAGGAG